GGUGUUGCAGCUCAGCUGGGUAUGAGCUUUAUGAAAAAGACCCUCUCAGACUUUAGCCAUAGAAUUCCCUUUCCUAGCCAGAGCUUCAAGUAGGAAGAAACUAAUGACUUCAUUACCAUCUCAAUUCUGGGAAAUGCUUGGUGCAGACCUGAAUCAUUAAAGGAAAGGGGCUCCUAACUGGGGAUGAUUCCAAAGCCAAGAAUGGUGUCAAAAUUUCAAGCCAUAGAAAAUUACAUGCACGUAUUUAAUGUUGUAAUGAUUAAAAGCAACUUAAAAAACAACUUGCAUCUUUUGCUAGCUUAAAAGAGAGCAGCGUGACAUAGAAGACUGACAGUGGGGUUGUCUUCCUUUCCUCCAUUGCUGCCUUUGCAGUUUUAAGGAAAAGAAACCUCUCUUGGUGAAGCUAUAUUCUUGCUAGCUGCCUAGAAUUUCUUUACAUAAUGAUAACUCUGAGUUUGAAACCCUGGCCAGACAAUCAUUUAGCAAAAUAUUCACAUUUUGGGUAGUUUUAAUGGACUUUGUCAAUAACAAAAAAACAAAUGUGUUUUUCCAAACAA